rnacentral:rRNA from 1 species
GUCCUUUAGGGAAGAAUUUAAGGUUUAACCUGCCCAUUGAUUAUUUUAACGGCCGCAGUAUUUUAACUGUGCAAAGGUAGCAUAAUCAUUAGUUUUUUAAUUGAAAGCUUGUAUGAAUGGUUGGACGAGAUAUAAACUGUCUUUAGAUUAUAGAUAGAAUUUAAUUUUUAAGUUAAAAAGCUUAAAUUUUUUUAAAAGACGAGAAGACCCUAUAGAUCUUUAUAUUUAUUAAUUAUAGUUUUUAAGGAUUAAUAAUUUUUAUAUUAAAAUAAGUAUUUUAUUGGGGUAAUAGAGAGAUUUAUAAAAUUCUUUUAUAUUUUGACAUUGAUUAGUGAAUUUUUUGAUCCAAUAUUAUUGAUUAUAAGAUUAAGUUACCUUAGGGAUAACAGCGUAAUUUUUUUUGAGAGUUCUUAUCGAUAAAAAAGUUUGCGACCUCGAUGUUGGAUUAAAAUUUAUUUUAGGUGUAGUAGUUUAAAAUUUUAGUCUGUUCGACUAUUAAAAUUUU